AGCAGCCGCGGUAAUUCCAGCUCCAAUAGCGUAUAUUAAAGUUGUUGCAGUUAAAAAGCUCGUAGUUGAAUUUCGGGAUCAAUUAAUUGGUCGUGCCUCUGGUACGUACUGAUUUUAUUGGUUUCUCCCUUCUGACGAACCAUGAUGUCAUUAAUUUGGUGUCGUGGAGAAUCAGGACUGUUACUUUGAAAAAAUUAGAGUGUUUAAAGCAAGCUAACGCUUGAAUACAUUAGCAUGGAAUAAUGAAAUAGGACGUUUGAUCCUAUUUUGUUGGUUUCUAGGAUCGACGUAAUGAUUAAUAGGGAUAGUUGGGGGCAUUAGUAUUCAAUUGUCAGAGGUGAAAUUCUUGGAUUUAUUGAAGACUAACUACUGCGAAAGCAUUUGCCAAGGAUGUUUUCAUUAAUCAAGAACGAAAGUUAGGGGAUCGAAGACGAUCAGAUACCGUCGUAGUCUUAACCAUAAACUAU
rnacentral:rRNA from 1 species